rnacentral:tRNA from 1 species
GUUUCUGUAGUUAAAUUUUAUAACGACGGCUUUUCAGGCCGUAAGUCUUGGAGAAAGCCGAGCAGGAAUU